rnacentral:rRNA from 1 species
GAUGAACGCUGGCGGCGUGCUUAACACAUGCAAGUCGAACGGGAUCCAUCAGGCUUUGCUUGGUGGUGAGAGUGGCGAACGGGUGAGUAAUGCGUGACCGACCUGCCCCAUACACCGGAAUAGCUCCUGGAAACGGGUGGUAAUGCCGGAUGCUCCGACUCCUCGCAUGGGGUGUCGGGAAAGAUUUCAUCGGUAUGGGAUGGGGUCGCGUCCUAUCAGGUAGUCGGCGGGGUAACGGCCCACCGAGCCUACGACGGGUAGCCGGCCUGAGAGGGCGACCGGCCACAUUGGGACUGAGAUACGGCCCAGACUCCUACGGGAGGCAGCAGUGGGGAAUAUUGCACAAUGGGCGCAAGCCUGAUGCAGCGACGCCGCGUGCGGGAUGACGGCCUUCGGGUUGUAAACCGCUUUUGAUCGGGAGCAAGCCUUCGGGUGAGUGUA